AGCAGCCGCGGUAAUUCCAGCUCCAAUAGCGUAUAUUAAAGUUGUUGCAGUUAAAAAGCUCGUAGUUGAAUUUCGGGAUCAAUAUGUUGGUCGUGCCUUGGUACGUACUGGCGUCAUUGAUUUCUACCUUCUGAAGAACCUCGAUGUCAUUAAUUUGGUGUCUUGGGGAAUCAGGACUGUUACUUUGAAAAAAUUAGAGUGUUUAAAGCAAGCUCACGCCUGAAUACAUUAGCAUGGAAUAAUGAAAUAGGGCGUUUGAUUCUAUUUUGUUGGUUUCUAGGAUCGACGUAAUGAUUAAUAGGGAUAGUUGGGGGCAUUAGUAUUCAAUUGUCAGAGGUGAAAUUCUUGGAUUUAUUGAAGACUAACUACUGCGAAAGCAUUUGCCAAGGAUGUUUUCAUUAAUCAAGAACGAAAGUUAGGGGAUCGAAGACGAUCAGAUACCGUCGUAGUCUUAACCAUAAACUAUGCCGACUAGGGAUCGGAUGAUGUUAAUUUUUUAAUGACUCAUUCGGCGCCUUAC
rnacentral:misc_RNA from 2 species